UGAGGAGUGAUGCACGAAUCUCCUUCAUUUUGGAUUUGUUUUGAUUUUUGAUUAGAGAGAGAGAGAGAGAGAGAGAGAGAGUUGGUAGUUAGGAUGUAGGUUUGUUCUCUUUUCUCUCUAGAUAUUAUUUUUUAUCACUUUUGUCUACCUUUGAAUUAGAGAAAAAAGGUCAGAACUUAGUGAUUGGAGAUCUAAGGAAAGAAACUUAUAAAUCAAAAUCAAGAUUAGGGAUCCAACACUUCCAAAAGACCAAAACUUAAUAGCAAAGAAUCAGCACGGAUCCAAUGCUUGUCGAUUGAAUCAAACCUUACUUGAGCGAGAGAGUUGUGGGUAUCGAUAUCAAGGCCGACAAUUGUGGUGAUAAGGGACUAGGGCUCAAAGAAUUCCACGAGGAUGACCUAUUUGCAUUCAAAAUCUACUAUUUAUUCUCUCAAGUGGGCAUGAGAUCUUGGAGAGAAGGAGAGUGGGUGUGGACAACUAGGGCAUCGAAUCAUGAGAUCUUGGGAAGGAGAGUGGGUGCAGCUAGGGUUUGAAAAGGGAGGGGAUGAGCAGCCAAGGUGAGUAGGCGACUAGAGAAUCAAAUCAUCCGGAUCAAAAGUGAAGGGUGCGGAGGGUUAGAUU
rnacentral:lncRNA from 1 species